UACUUGGUAAAUAUUUUCUUUAAAAUCUAUUGUGAUAUUAAAUCUGGAAUGAAUUGGCUUUCUGUUUUAUCUUACCAUUAUUUUUUAAUUUAGUGCAUUGUUUUUUCAACAUUGUGCCUGCCAGUAUGCCUACAAAAUCAUCUGCGAGUGUCCAAAUGAACCCCAAUUGUUGGUCAUGCCUUUAUUUCUCUUUUCUUGGG